GUGGCUUGAAAAACCCUUCCCGAACCCUACGCUUCUCGCUCUGCCUCCCCUCCCCUCCACUCCCUCUCCCUCCUCGCCGCCGCCAUCUGGCGUGGGCGGCGGCCCCCCGCGCGCAGCGCUGACUUCGGCCGGCUGGCGGCACGCCGGGCCGCAUCACGGCCGGAUCGAGCGGCGACAGCGUCCCCCGCCAUCCCACCCAUGGGAUAGGAUGCGCCAGUGAGGGAGGCGGCACAUCUGAGGAGUCCACCGCCUAGUAGUACUCCAAGCGACUGCUUGAGGCCCCGUCUACUGUCCAGCUGCGGGCUCCCGUCCCUGCCGGACGGCCACCUCCCUUUCUGCUGCAAGAUCCCGUCCCUAUCGCAGCGCCCGUCUGCCCAGCGCCCACCGAAUCCAUUCCCUGCUGCAGCCGUCCGCUCGCCGACUUCCGUCCCUACCGCGGCCGUCCGUCCACCGGGUCCCGUCCCUGCCAUGGCCGUCCGCUCGAAGCUCCAAUGGAUUACGAGUCAACUCCUCUGACGGGUGGAGUCCUCUGCUGAUCCAGGUGUCUAGAAGAUAAGUAGAGUGCACUAAAGCCAUCAGGUAUGUUGCAAUAUCUAUGUAGUCAAAUGCUUGCUUCUGAUGUGUAAAGCUGAUCCAUGUAGUCAAAUGCUUGCUCCAGAUACAUGAUUUACAAUUAUCAAGGGAAAAUAUAAGCACUCAAGGAACUACUAGCAUUCGUAGAAGAUAUGAUGAAACAGUUCUGAUACACACACAUGUUCUAUAGGCUUGAAUGCAAGGAGCUGUUAUGUUAUGACAACAUUUUUCAUUUUUCAUAGCUGUUUUGCUUUACUGAAAUAUAAUAUGCUCUACAACUAGCAACAUUUUUCAUUUUGUGAUUCAUUUCUGUCUGGAAAUAGAAUUGGAAUCUGAUUACUCAAAUCAAAUUCAUUUCUUACAUCCAAACAUUUUUUAUAGCUGUUUUGCUUUGUUGAUGCAUUUAGGCUUAAGCGGAGCGUGGCUAGUUUGAUGCUGAAGUGGGAAUGGUGUGCUCUUCGUGGCUUAGGCUUUAUGAAUUAAUUUGAGCGGUAUCUUUGCUCUAGAUUUGGUUAGUUGGAUGCCGCACCACUCUGUUAGUUAAAUUAUUAUCUGGUUUAAACAUGCAUUCUCGUGUACAAGGCUGACUAUUGUUUAUGCCAUGAUUGAAUUGAUGCCCUGAGUGCUUUUCGCUGCAAAAGUAUUUGUUCUACAAGAUUAUCUAGCAGUCAGAUAAAGGGAAGUGAGUUAGCCCAAGCAUCUAAAGUUAGAUGUAGUUCACAGUGUCUCAGAUAUGUCGUUUUUGUUUGAGGAUAAAUCAUGUAGGAGAUGAUCGUAUACCUGGCGCAGGAGCUCGUCCGCGCCUGCUCGACAUGCCAGCGCAACAAGACGCAGCGACCAGCGGGGCUGCUCCAGCCCCUCGAGGUUCACUCCCAGGUGUGGGCGGACAUCUCGAUGGACUUCGUCGAGGGACUGCCCAAGGUCGGCGGGAAGUCGGUCAUCCUCACCGGGGUGGACUGCUUCUCGAAGUAUGCGCACUUCAUCGCCCUGAGCCAUCUGUACACAGCUUCGUCGGUCGCCCGCACCUUCUUCGACGGCAUCGUUCGGCUCCACGGCUUCCCGACGUCCAUCGUCAGCGACCGGGACCCAGAGUCUUCACGAGCCACAUGUGGUGCGACCUGUUCAAGAUGGCCGGCGUCCAGCUCCGCUUCAGCACGGCAUUUCAUCCUCAGACGGACGACUAGUCGGAGAUCAUCAACAAGGUGCUGGCCAUGUACCUGCGAUGCGCCACGGGAGACCGCCCGCGAGCCUGGGUGGACUGGCUCGCGUCGGCAGAGUACUGCUACAACACCUCGUACCACACGUCGCUUCGGGCGACGCCGUUCGAGGUGGUCUACGAGCGGCCCCCGCCGGCGCUCCAACCACACACCGCCGGCGCGGCCCAGACGGACGCGGCCGACACGCUUCUCCGUGACCGUGACUCCUUCCUCGCCGACGUCCGCGAGCGUCUUCUCCAGGCUCGUCAGCACGCCAAGCACUACUACAACGUUCACCGCCGCGAGCUGGAGUUUGCGGUGGGUGAUUGGGUCUGGCUCCGCCUGCUACACAGGCCGACCCACUCGCUGGAGCGUCGUCCCAAGGGAAAGCUCGGGAAAGCUCGGCCCUCGCUACGCAGGUCUGUUUCAGGUGAUCGAGCGCAUCGGGUAGGUGGCUUAUCACCUGCAGCUUCCAGAGGGGUCGCGCCUCCACAAUGUCUUCCAUGUGGGGCUGCUGAAGCCCUUCCACGGCGACCCCCCUGCGCCCACGCCGCCAUUGCCGCCCAUUCAUGGUGGCAGGGUGGUAUUGACUCCGGCUCGGGUGCGGCAGGUGCGCCUUCAGCAUGGCGCUCGGAGAUCCUCGUGGAGUGGUAGGGGCUCCCUCCAAAUGAUGCGACCUGGGAGCCACGGGAGUCCUUUGUCGAGCGCUACCCCGACUUCCAGUUCGAGGACGAGCUGUUUCCCGAGGAGCGGAGAGAUGUUAUGGGCCAGGCCCAGCCGGCCCAGACGCCUCAGGCGCAGCCGCCCCAACCGGCGCCGCACAAGUGGCUAGGAGGGCCACGAUCUAUUUCCUUAGGGGUCAAGUUUAUUUCCAUAAGUCGCAAACAUUUGUAAGUUAAAUAGGGAACUCGGGAUUGGAAACAGGGAGGCUGAGAAUUGAAUCUCAGUUGGCCUCACGGGGCCAUCUCAUCUCGCGACUCCCUCUCCCUCGCGCGCCCACGCUCGCACACCGCCGCCACCGCUCACGCCGCCCUAGCAGCCACGGCGACUAUACGCCGCCGGCUGCCCAAGCCUCGCCCUCCUCCUUCACAUCCCUACAACCUUCGCAGUCGUUCCUAUCAAUAGUUGUCCUUUGGACUUAGGAGAUGAACUACCAAUGGUAGAAGUUAUAGUAUAUUGUGCCAGUUUCUAUUUUUGUUACCAUGAAACUCAUGACUUGCUCAAAAUUUUUGAAGUAAUGGCAUUCACAUGUCCUUCAAAUCAGCACACAAGCAAAGCCUGUGGAGAAAAUGAAAGCCGGGGGCACUUACCACAUUACAGUGAAAUGAAAUAUUCAAAAACAGGAAGAUAUAUUUGACUAUGCCAUAUCUGAUGAUGUAUUACAAUCUGGAAGAUGUGCUUCAUUAAUUGUAAAGUACCAGCUUCAUAUUCUUCACAAGAUGUUGAAGUUUGAUGAAAUUAGCAAUAAGGGGAUCAGAUCCUGCUGUUUUCUUGAGAAAUGAACUUGUGCAUGCAAAAUGUUUCCCUACAUAGCUAUUUUCUCCUAAGUGGAUGCUAGAAAAUUCGCUUUGGGAGAUUCUGUACAUCUAUUUGUAUUGUCUAAGUUUAAAUGUGUGAAUGAUUCUUGUUAUAGUCUAAUAUAUUGCAAUAAGAGUUAUUACAUGAAGUAAUGUGUA